UGAGAGAAGUGCUUAUUCUGGAGGAAAAAACGGGAGAUACAGUAUCUCUUUGCCUUCACGCUCUUACACAACUCUCCAGAAGUUGCAAGACCGGCUGCUCGAUAGUUAACUAUCUGAAAAGCUAGACUCAGCAUAUAUUUUCCCCUUGCUCACCCUGUGAUGAGCUCACUGACCCUCAGACCUACCGCCCCCUAUCUGCCGACAGUAAGACCAGCUGUUUGCUCCGAGUCCAGAGAACGGCGCACCAUCCAGACGAGAGAAGAAUAAGAAAUACCCCUCAACUCUUGUUCUCCUAUCCUAUCAGGUUGGAGGGCCAAGGACCUGAUUCACAACCUCUUACCUGACCACCAGGAGCUCUGUCCGGACAAACCCUCCGAGGUGGAUUUGUGUGGUGAAGAGAGGCGGUAAACAUCUUUGGAAACUGCGUGUUGAGGUUUAAAUUGGUUGCAACCUUGUCGGCCAACCAGCCAGCAUCAAACAAGCAACAACUCAUCGGAAACAGCAUCAUACUGGAGGUACAGCACAGAAAGAUGAACACAUUGGUCUUGUCACACGUCGCAGAGCGCAGCGGAGGGGAAGCAAACAACAGCAGGGUGGUCGCAGACUGGGGCAUCAUCAUGACAAAACACUGAGGGCAUCUGUCAGCAUCUUAAGGUCAUCCUUCACACCUUCCAGGCCUCCUUGGAUCUUCAGCGGGUUGUCCAGCACCUCCACACUGCUGGUGUACGGAUCAAACCUCACUGAGAAGGGACGUUUGAUACCGGUCACGUAGGUUCUUGUCAAAGAAAAAAGGUCAGAAAAGAAAAAAGUAAGACCUAAAGAACUUAAAGACUAGGCAGUCUUUGAGCUCUUCAUGAAUGUGUGUGUCUAAGAAACAUAAAACCAAAUAUUUCACUUCGCCAGAGGAAACUUCUCUUUGAUUGACUAGAAAAAGUCCCCCUGGCUGUAGUUUGGUCUGUUAAUAGAGACUUAAUAGAGAAUAUCCUACUUAUAUCUGCACCACAUAAGGAACAGAGAUAUUCAUCACGAGAUUUCCCUCUUACUACACUUUUACAAACGUUCCCAUGCUGAUAUUUUGUGUGGCAGAGAUGUCAUGUGAUGUAUUCUACUAGAGACCAAAUACUGUCAAAACACUCACUAAAGCUACUUGUUUUGCAGGGCAACAUUUGAUCUGUUUGCCAAAUAAAACUCCAGCCUUUUUUGCCUUGGUAAGAAAGACUACAUUAGUAACAGCUGUCUUCUGGCUGCUAUGGCUGACCUACAAAAGUUUACGGCCUGAGGGGUUGGCUGGCUUUUUCUCUGACCUUAUCCUUGCAUAACCCCUCUCACUUUUAGUUUUUUUCUUCUUCUCUCUGUAUGCUCUUGUGUAUUUACAUGUGUUUGUGGAAAACGUGUGGCUCAGUACCUGAAUUUCUCCUUGGCAUCUGAAAAACUCUCAGAAAUGAAGUAGACAGGCUGGUACGUCUGAUCCUGAUACGGCUGCACUGCCGCGGCCUCUGGAUCAAACUCUCUCGUCUCUGGUUCGUCGGACAGUGAGUGCUGGAUUGAAGUUAAAAGAAAUAUAGAUGGGGAAUUAGCUGAAAGCUUAGUUGGUUGUGAUUAUUGCAUUUUUAUUCAGGGAAAUUAAAACAUUAAGCAUGCUGGAAACGCACCACAAGCUCUCCAUAAGAGGAAAGCAGUCCAGCACCGUAAGCCUUCACCUCCCCGUUCUGUUUGCAUAAGCCAUACUCGACGGUGAACCAGUAUAACUGAAAACAUAAAGAGAGUGGCUGAGAGAAAGAAGGAUACUGGGGUAGACAAUCAGUUCAUUAUUUAUGUCAUAUUUUAGACAAGGGACUGUACAAUGACCAGGAAGGGAGGUGGGGUUCAUUUAAUCUUCUUGAACUAAACUAAAUGGUUCAAUCGGGUCGGGUAGCGUGUCUCAAUCGGUUUCAAUCAGGCAUUUAUUUUACACUUUAUUUUAAUAUCUAGUAGCUAGCAGAGUUUUGAAAAACAGUAGUUAACAGUCAGUAAAAAAAACACCCCAUUUUUUUCUGUUUUUCAUAAUUUUGGCAAUUGCUAUUUUCAUUCCAAAUGUGCAUAUAAUAAUAAAUCCAGAAUAUCAAAAUAAAUUGAUUAAGAAUGAACAUAUUACGCUUGAAAUGGAGGUUGGGUAGACAUAAUAGUGGAACUAUUCUCAACACCUCAGUCAUGUUGUAAGUACUGUUGCUGUUACUCACUGUGGACAGUUUCUCAAUAUCUUGAUCCGAAGCUCCAAGUGAUGCCAGACCAAGGUUCUGCAGCAAGUAAUCAAUACAUUGUCAUCACAACAUAAUACUGCAUGUAAAAUAAUAAUGUGUAAGUCUAAGUCUCCCCAUAUUCACCUGUGAAAACUGGGCAAAAGUACGGUCGGCCAGCAUGGGGACGUGGCCCAGCAGUUCAUGGACACAGUCACUGAAAAAAAAAAGAAAGAAACAUUCAGCUGGAUCCAAAUUGAGAAACCAUGCACAGAUAAAUUUAACUAAAUACAGACUUCACAAACUGCCAAUUCAAUCUGGUUGCAUUACAAAACAAUGGUUACAGAGUGAAAAACAAUUCUGUGUGACACAAGACAAGUGAAGUUUGUUUGUGCUCGUAAAACUAACUUAUAUUUGUCCCAAAAAUCCAUACUUCUUUGUAGGCUAGUUUUUUGAGUGAACUUUUAUAUAUAGCAAUAAAUUGUUUUUUUAGUUUGUUAGUAUUUCUCACUUAAACUACAUUUGCCAACACUAACUAGUUAUUUUAUUUGCUUCAUAUUUUUCCCUUUUUUCAUAUGUACAGGGUAGGUAUUUAUUUUAUGCUGUCACUUUGUUGGUGUGUAAUCUUUGGCAACAUGUUUUUGUUAAAAACAACAUUCCAAUAUAGUUUCACUGAGCUGAAUUAAGAAAAGAGAAAAGGCUAUUUUAAGGAACAACAUCUGAGGGUGAAGGAUGGGAGGCUUAAGGAGGUGCACUCAACAUUAUUGCUGAGACACUGACACGCAGAUCUCGAUGGCAAUGGCUAAAAUGUGUUGUAGGUCUUGAUGUUAGGAGCAAAGAGGAGUCACAGUCAUACUCACGGCUCUGGGGAGUGCAUAGGGGAAGAGGCGUGUCGGAUGUAUUGGGUGCACUGGAACACCCGAUAUGCCAAACUGGCAAGGAAAUCUCUGGCUGAGAGCAGACCUGCCACUGGACGCAGUAUGAACCCUGUACGCUCUGUGUGUGUGUGUGUUCAGGAGGUGGGAUAAAAGGAGACAGAGAGUUGAUGGACAGUGUAUUCACUAAACAUUUGCUUCACUUUGGGUGUUUCUUAUUCCAUCUUUACCUUUGAGGAAGCGUGACACGUCCUCUAACUGGGGAAUGUUGUCUGGACUGUACCCACAAUGCCUUUCCAGGAGACGGAAGGCCUCGAGGUAUUCACUGCAGGCAUGGGUGACGUACAAGUCCCUCAGAGUUGAGUAGACUUCCCUCCUAAUCAUGGAUGAAAUUGCAUAAUAAUUCAGAUUAAAUUUUUUUCCUGAACAAAAUCUCUCAUGUCCUUCUCAAGCAAUUUUUUUUAAAUUUUUUAUUCUCCUGUUUAAUCAGUUUUGUUUAAAUUCAGCUUAUGUUUUCCUGUCAAAUCUCUCUGGUAUAUUUUCUGCACAGAAAAGUUCAAGCUGCCCUACCUAUAAUAGCGCCCUUCGUCUGUAUCUAAUUCACCAAAAUAAAAGACAAAUCAUAUUCAACUGUCUGAGACAGGAGAUGAAAUUGAGGCAGUGGGUGGUGAAUGGACACAACGAUGUUCUGAUAUGGAAACAGCAGGAAGGUCUGCAUGUUUGAAAAACAAGUGAUAAUUUGUAUUCAGUGUAAAUUUUGAUUUUAUGCUUGGUGAUCUACACAUAACACAUUAACUGCAUAUUACACCCCUUACCAUGUGCCAAUCUCCUCCUCUGUGUAUUCCACUCUGGGAAUCGAAUCCCCGCUGAGGACAAACAUAUAAAGAUGUAUCAGGAAUAAUCAAGUAUUAGGUUUUUUUAUGGACGUCUGCGCUGUAAUCAGGCAAAAGAUUGUAGCUCACUGUCUGUAUCUGAAGGCGAUGUCUCCAAUCAUUUUCCUCCUCUGUCUGUAAGCAGGGUCUGUGAAGCCCUGUUCAAAUCAAAUAUA